rnacentral:rRNA from 1 species
AGUCGAGGGGCAGCACGGUAUAGCAAUAUAUGGGUGGCGACCGGCAAACGGGUGCGGAACACGUACACAACCUUCCGGUGAGCGGGGGAUAGCCCAGAGAAAUUUGGAUUAAUACCCCAUACUAUAAUGAUCAGGCAUCUGGUUAUUAUCAAAGGCUUCGGCCGCUUAUUGAUGGGUGUGCGUCUGAUUAGGUAGUUGGCGGGGUAGAGGCCCACCAAGCCUACGAUCAGUAGCUGAUGUGAGAGCAUGAUCAGCCACACGGGCACUGAGACACGGGCCCGACUCCUACGGGAGGCAGCAGUAAGGAAUAUUGGACAAUGGACGCAAGUCUGAUCCAGCCAUGCCGCGUGAAGGAUGAAUGCCCUCUGGGUUGUAAACUUCUUUUACAGGGGAAGAAAGUUAUCUUUUUUAGGAUAUUUGACGGUACCCUAUGAAUAAGCACCGGCUAACUCCGUGCCAGCAGCCGCGGUAAUACGGAGGGUGCAAGCGUUAUCCGGAUUCACUGGGUUUAAAGGGUGCGUAGGCGGGUAUGUAAGUCAGUGGUGAAAUACCGGAGCUUAACUUCGGAACUGCCAUUGAUACUAUAUAUCUUGAAUAUUGUGGAGGUAAGCGGAAUAUGUCAUGUAGCGGUGAAAUGCUUAGAGAUGACAUAGAACACCGAUUGCGAAGGCAGCUUACUA